rnacentral:rRNA from 1 species
GACAGAGGAUGCAAGCGUUAUCCAGAAUGAUUGGGCGUAAAGCGCGUGUAGGCGGCUGUGCAAGUCGGAUGUGAAAUCCCGUGGCUCAACCACGGAAGUGCACCCGAAACUGCGCAGCUGGAGUCUCGGAGAGGAAGGUGGAAUGCUUGGUGUAGAGGUGAAAUUCGUAGAUAUCAAGCGGAACACCGGUGGCGAAGGCGGCCUUCUGGACGAUGACUGACGCUGAGACGCGAAAGCGUGGGGAGCAAACAGG